CCUACGGGUGGCAGCAGUGAGGAAUAUUGGUCAAUGGGCGAGAGCCUGAACCAGCCAAGUCGCGUGAGGGAGUACUGCCCUAUGGGUUGUAAACCUCUUUUGUCGGGGAGCAAAAGCCGGACGUGUCCGGCUGUGAGAGUACCCGAAGAAAAAGCAUCGGCUAACUCCGUGCCAGCAGCCGCGGUAAUACGGAGGAUGCGAGCGUUAUCCGGUUUUUUUGGGUUUAAGGGGGGCGCAGGCGGAUUGUUAAGUCUGCGGUAAAAUCUUGGGGCUCAACCCCAUCCAGACGUUGAAACUGGGGAUCUAGAGUGUGCGAGAGGUAUGCGGAAUGCGUGGUGUAGCGGUGAAAUGCAUAGAUAUCACGCAGAACCCCGAUUGCGAAGGCAGCAUACCGGUGCACAACUGACGCUCAGGCACGAAAGCGUGGGUAUCGAACAGGAUUAGAUACCCCAGUAGUC
rnacentral:rRNA from 1 species